GCCGCCCUGGUUCAGUGGUUAUCACCCCAUUGACAGAUCACUUCAAUUCUGAGGUGUUCGAAGGUUCGAUUCCUUGGGUGGCA